AUAUAUAUAUAUAUAUAUAGCUUUUGAUUUAUGCUACUGACCGAGUAGCACAGACUUAUGUGCAUCUCACCAUAAUUUCAGUUCCUAAUGUCUUCUUUCAUAGCAUGGUAUUGCUUCCUUCCUUCCAAGACAUGACAAAGGUUGCCCCUUUGCACACCCAUUCUUGGGAUGCAACCCCCAAAGAGGCGCUCAUUAUGUGGUCCUGUGCCUAAUUCCCAUUUCAUGGGCUUGCUCAAUAAUAUAAAAAGCUGAGCCGACAUUCUCUUUGUGUAGUACCAGAAAGAAGGUAGAAGGGUUAAUUAGAGAGGAAGAUAACAGCUAUGCCUCCAAUUUAAUAGCUGUAUCAACGGCAUCCACAAUAUUAUUUGCUGUGCCCAUAACUGUGCAUAUCUUCCUGCCUCGGUCAGUAGAACUUCAUGGGGUCCUUGCUCAACCACAUUCCCAUUCUCCAGAACUAUUAGCUGAAAAGCAUAUUCAAAGUAUUGGAAGAAUGUCAAAUAUGUAGUUAAGAGAACAAACAAAAGAAAGAUGCUAAGGUGCACAGAUGGCAAUAAAAUCUAUUGUUAAAUUGAAUAGAUUGUUUGGUGUUGGAGCAUCCAACCAAAAACUUAAGCUAGUAGGAGAACAAUCCUACACUAUACAGCAAAAAUAGUCUCAUACAGACCUUUCUUUAUCAUUUAUGCUUGCAAAACUCAAAAUUUUUCCUAAGAUGUGGCUGGCCUACAGAUAAAAGUAGAAGCAGAGAUAUUUACCAACUAAAUAGUGAUGCAAUUUGGAAGCAUGGCAUCUAAAAGUGGGUGAACAUAUUCAUUUUGAACAAAGGAAACAUCCAAAGUUGUACAAACUAUCGUGGUAUUAAACUGAUGUGUCACACGAUAAUGUUAUGGGAAAGAGUAAUUGAGUGCAGACUAAGUGACAUUAUUAAGGUAUCGAAGGGAGAACCAGUUUGGCUUUAUGCCUUUUAGGUCUACAACAAAGCUUAUGUUUUAAGUAAUAAGAUUAAUGGAAAUAUAUAGGGAAAGGAAAAAGGAUCUCCAGGUAUUUAUUGAAUUACAAAAGGCAUAUGAUAGGGUAUCGAGAAAAGUCCUUUGGUGGGUGUUAGAGAAGAAAAUAGUUAAUCUUAAGUAUAUAAAUGUCAUUAAGGCCAUGUAUGAGGAGGCGGCCACAAGUGUAAGGACAAUGGGGAGGGACACAAACGAGUUUCCCAUAACAAUGGGUUUACACUAAGGAUCGGCUUUAAGUCCGUACCUGUUUACCUUAGUUAUGGAUGAGCUUACCAAUCAUAUUCAAGAUGGUGUCUCUUGGUGCAUGUUAUUUGCAAAUGAUAUUAUAUUAGUGGAUGAAACUAGUGAAAAAGUUAUCAAAAGUUGGAGUUGUGGAGGACUCUUGAGAGCGAUAGUUUUAAGUUAAGUAAAUGCAAGACGGAAUGCAUGUAAUAUGAGUUUAGCUCUCAUAAAAUGAAUGGAAGUGAGAUUCGUUUGGAUGAAGUUUUGAUUCCAAAAUGCAAUCAAUUUAAAUACCUAGUUCUAUCAUACAGAAGAAUAAAGUUCUAGAUGAGGAUGUAACUUAUAGGAUCAAUAUAGAAUAGAUGAAAUGGAGGAGUACGAUGAGUGUAUCAUAUAAUCGAAAGAUCCCUAAUAAAGUAAAAGGUAAGUUGAUAUGAACCU
rnacentral:misc_RNA from 1 species